rnacentral:lncRNA from 1 species
GAAAGAAAAAAAUGUCAACACGUAACCACACAAAGGCUGCUUUGAGUCCGACCGAGCCAUUUACCUGCAAAAAUCCCUUUCAGCGAAAGAUGAUGCGCGUUCUACCUCAGCGGCCUUCAUUUGCAACACGGGAUGAAACAGCAGGAAACAGCAAUAGCUGUGAGGAAAUACCAGGGCACCCUCAGCGGUGCAGUGUGCUCAGGUUUUAGUCGCACAGGUUGGACUUUUUCACACUCGUCUCUGUGAAACACUGCAGAGCUCAAGGAUCUCGCCCACGACAGUGACAGGCGGCCGUCGACGGCGUCCUGGUGUUUCAGAGCGCCGCUCCGUCUUUAUUUAUCUCUACAUCUAUCGCACACAGACACUUAAAGCUCACAGGAAGAAAGAUCACCAUCACUAUCUUGUCAUGUCCGCUUCUCCUUUGUAGCGAACGCACCAGACGUCAAGUGUUACUUCUGCUUUCAACGCCAGCGCGGCGUUUGUGGCUCGUCUCAGCUGAUGCCGCCCCCAGUCACUUAAUGACCAGUCAGUCGGUUAAUGGUACAGCGUUUACCAACAACGACGCGGCGGAAUAAAACCGUAUUUAUAAACAAAUGCUGCAUUUUUUUUAUCACAACCACAAAAUGAAAGUCACCGCUCCACCUACACAACUAUGAGGCCGGUAUAAUAGAGCCCGAUGAGGCCAGCGGGACCAGCCGGGACUUGCACCAGCGCAUGCGCGCGCCCGAGCGCGCGUCUGACCCGCUCCGCUCCGCGUCUCAGUCUAUUGGGAGAUAAUGAAAUACACACUGCACUCAGGGACCGACUCACAACCGCCUAUUACUGCAGCGCACUGUUUGCCCUGUUUGUGAGAGCAGGGCUGCGUUCCACCCACCAAACAACCUUCUCCCGCACCACAGGCGCAGCCACACGAUGGCGGCACAGAGCAAGUAACCAGUGGCGCUUCAGCAGUCUCUGCACGGGCCUGUGCCUGCUUUACGGGGCCUUCUGCCGCCUCGCCUUGACAGUAACUGUGGUCUUCAGCCGUCACUGGAACGGGACCUUCAGCAGGAGCGGGGACGACGGGGCUGCUCGAAUGCGGGACUCGUCCCGAGGAGUCGGCCUCCGAGUCGGACGGCGCUUCAGAGACGGAGAGAGAUCCGCUGCUGCUGGAGGUCACAGACAUUGGGGUGCGGAGAUGAUCUGGUGUAGUUGCCCCCAUGUUCUUAGCGUUACGUGGGGCUGGUUGAGGCGGAUCAUCUGUGUUUAUUCCCGGUCCUGCUCCCGGAGGCAAAGUCUGACUCCGCUCCACGUGACGCCCCUGCUCUGUCUGGGAUGUUUCAAACACAGUGAAUCUUUUUAUAAACACAUUUCUUGGAUAUGGAACCGGUUUCCUCUCCGACCCCAGGUUCUGUACCCUUCUAUCGUUGUCCUCUUCACACCCACCACUGGUCUGGGCCUUUAA